UGUCUCAGAAACUGUGUUCUUUGGCGGUGAUCGUGACCUCGUAAAUCUUGACCACUGAAACGACAAUUGGUAAAAGUUAUUGUAUUUAAAUUAAUAUUUAACCCUUUCACUAGUUUUGUGUGUUGUGUAAUAUAUUCGAGUGGAAUAUGAGAAGAUACGUAUAAAUAUUCGUCGCAUGGAAUGUUACGUAUAAGUGAAGAGUAUGUUUCAAGUAAGAUUAAACAACAGCAAUUUUUAGCGUGAAACUGGAAGAUAUUGAAUCCGCCAAGAAGCCGUCGCCAUCUUCCAUGACAAAGCUCGAUGAAGAAAUCAGAAGGAAGUGUUCUAUAUUUGUUACUCUUUCAUAUCGACCACAUAAUAUCAAGUAUAUAAAUUAUGAUAUUAAGUUAUCGUUUAUUAAUAACGAAUUGGUAACACAACAAAUUGACUAACACAAGCACACUAUCUAAAGUUAGAUAGUUGAUGGCUAUCGUUGCAUCGAGUUGCUUGAAACUCUUGAAAUUGAUUCGAGAUCUUCCAUGAUCAUCCACUUGAUCUAUAUCGUAUCAAUAGCAUGGAUAGCGCCUUGUGUAACGUGGCCACAAUGCAACGUAACAGAAUGGCGAUUCUACGGUGUGUUGGCCUCUUUGAUGCUGAAACUGACAUUGUUGACUUGUGCUUCGAGCGUUUCAACGUUGACAUAGAUGAGAUAGAAAAUUGAGUUUUAAAUCCUAUGGGUGAAAGAGCGAAGUGGAAAUUUUUAUUUUCAAAUAGAAAUUGAAUUCAUGAUAUACAUUUACAAUUAUGGGAGAUGUAUAAUCAAGUUUUUCAAAACAACAGAGAUGGGACAUUCAUUAAAAAGAAAUACGACUUUGAGAAAUACCUCUUAAUUCGAUCUGAGCCGAGAAAAUUGGCAUAGUCUAUCUCGGUCUUUUUUAAUUGGAAUUAUUAUACAGAAAGAAAAUAAAAGAAUUGCGAGACGGAAUCGUGGAAAGCUAUGAAAAGUUAGAGUAAAUAAAGAAUGUAUAAAACAAUGGUCUGGUUCGUAAACUCGUGGAAAAAAAUUUAUAAAACAACCGCACAAUGCUUGAGAAGUGGAGAAAAAUAAGUUUUCCUAUUUGCAACCCAGUUUCAACUCGAACAAAUACAACUUUGAUAUCUCAAUUUGCAUACGCAUGUAAACCUCGUGAAAAAUCAAAAUAAUCAUACGAGUUUUUAACAUAAGAUUAUCAUUGAUCAAGAAUUUAUAUUCAAUUGAUUGGAGCGGAGGACGGUAAUCAUGGAUGAUUGAAAAUCGAAUUAAAAAAGGAAUUAAAUGGAACAUCUUGGUACUAUACACGGAUAAAAAUGUCGUCUGAAAAAGAAGAACUCGUUGAGAGGAAUAGAAAUCGAUCUCAUUUUGCAGCGAUGAAGAGAACGAAACUAGGAAAAAAGAUUAUUUGGAUAAUUCUUCGAUUCGUCUAAUAUCAAUUCUACUAAUUCGAGAUCAAUUUGCAGGACAUGUUUCGCUGUUAAACAAAAGAAAAAGAAAGCGUACUUAUAUCGAAGAUUAUCAUAGACUGAUGAAACGAUGAAACUUUCUGGAUUGUUGUAAUACGUAAGAGAGAGUUACUACUAAGGGAUAAUUUUUGAACGAAGGUUAUAAAGAUAAUAUGGAAGUUGAGUUUGAACUAGUAAUGGGAAAGAUUAGUAAUGAUGGAUUGGCAAAAAGUUUGGAGGAUCAUUAUAUAGAUCAAUAUGUUACAUGAUAUUCCAGUUUUAUGAUCGAUCUUGAGCAAUUACUUUGUUAAAAUAUUCGACAAAUGUUUAAAGAAAAUAUAUCCAUUUCUUUUUUAAUAUUACAACAUCAAAUAUAUUUUUUGCACUCGUCUUAUCAUAAAAUUUCAAGAGGUCUUUUUGAAAACGUGGCUAACCCACCGGAAAAGGGAAUGAAAAAUUUUUGCUCUGAAAUUCAAGAACCGUCUUCAAAUAUGCAUAUUUCAAGACGGCGCGAUCUCUUGAAAGGAAACGACGAAAAGUACCAUUUUCUUACUUCUGCGUUCUUCAACAAAUCAACUUCAAAUUACACAAUCUUAAUACUUUAAUAUCUUCCCCAAUAUUGUAUUGUAAGAUUUUAAAUAAACUAUUUAGAGA
rnacentral:lncRNA from 1 species